rnacentral:rRNA from 1 species
UACAGAGGUCCCAACCGUUGUUCGGAUUCAUUGGGCGUAAAGGGUGCGUAGGCGGCGAAGUAAGUCAGGUGUGAAAUCUCGGGGCUCAACCCCGAAACUGCACUUGAUACUGCUUUGCUUGAGUACUGGAGAGGAGACUGGAAUUUACGGUGUAGCAGUGAAAUGCGUAGAUAUCGUAAGGAAGACCAGUGGCGAAGGCGAGUCUCUGGACAGUUACUGACGCUGAGGCACGAAGGCCAGGGGAGCAAACGGG